UGCGAAACUCGAAUGAACGAACGGGGAGAUUCAUCGUUAUUUCGCGGCGUCGCGGUGCGCCCGCACGAUGAUGCGCUCUCGGCUUCGCGGCCGUUGCAGCGCGUCACGGGGCGUACUGUUAGCACGUUCGCGGACGGCGUGCACUUCUCCCUUAGUAAUACAUCGCGACCCGUUAGACGUCGACCUAAGCUCCGUUCGGGAGUCUCGCUCGUGUGCACCUUCGCGGGUCGCAGCGGGCGCAGACCGUGACGUGCAGCCGGCCGGCUGUCUGACGGUAUCAUGUUGCGGAACGCGUACGCGUGUUUAUGCGCGCGUCCGGCCCGACGCAAGGUUUGCGUCGUUCGAAUCCCCCGUCCUGCCCGAGCGCGGGCGGGGGUGCGACGCGCCUGUUGUCUGCGCCGUGUUGUCUCGGACAGUACGCGUGCCGUGUCUGC
rnacentral:rRNA from 1 species